rnacentral:lncRNA from 1 species
CCGUGGCCCUCCUGGUGUUCCAGCUGGCCUCUCUGUCUUUGCCCUGCCCUCAGGGCCUCUGGGUUUAUAUUUCACAGCACUGCCUGGCCCAGUGGGAUCAAAUGUCUGCCGUGCCACACGUCCCAGGAAAGGACUGCAGAGGCCUUCAGAUGAUCUCCACGCUGCAGUACCCAGAGGUCUGGUUUCUGACCCAGGUGCCUGUCCAACCCAAGGGCUGCCGUGCAUUGCCUUUUGGGAAAGCCUGGCCUGGAGAGAAUCAAAGCAGGUGACUGCAUUUUGCCAGAUCUUCUUGGUAGGGCCUCUGCGGCCUGUGUGGUCAGCCCCAGACGACUUGCGCAGCCUCCUCUUCCUCGUGGCUCUGCCUCUGCCCCACCGUCUGUCCAUCUGUGUCUGGCCUGUUGAACCCUUUUGGGCUUGGAAUGCCCUCUCCCUUGGGCCGUCUGGGCCCUGGGAGUGGCUGGCGUGGGGUUGGUGUGGGCACUGGGCCAGCAGCCUGGCUCCCUUCCUCUUCCCUCCACUCUCUGGAGGCGGGCAGCCCCAGGUCCUCACCUGUGACGCAGGAGUCAGGACUGCAGCAGCUUCCUAACGGGCGGGAGUGAGGCUUCAAAGAGGUAACACUCCAGCAAGUCCGUGACAGGGGCUGCAGGAGACGAGUGCCCAGAAAGUGGGGAUGCUAACCCUGGCUUCCAAGGAUCUGAAGAGGAAGCUGCGGCUGUGACUGUCCCUUUUCGGUCUGUCUUCAUCCUGCCUGACUCACGGGUCUCCUGUCCUCCUGCAUAGCUUGCGGUGGUGAGGUGAUGGCAGCCAUGGACACAGGCCAGAGAGCUGACCCAAGCAAUCCUGGUGACAAGGAAGGGGACCUUCAAGGGCUGUGGCAGGAACUCUACCAGCUCCAGGCUAAGCAGAAGAAGCUCAAGAGAGAAGUCGAGAAGCACAAGCUUUUUGAAGACUAUCUGAUUAAGGUCCUUGAGAAAAUCCCCGAGGGUAUGUACACAGCUUCCUCGGAAAGCCCUUUCUCUCCACAGCCACCUACUGGCUGCAGGACUGCGACACCGUGUGUGGCCUCAUGGAGCCACGAGCUGCUCAUCUACAGAAUGGGAAUCCACAAAGGCCAACCCCACAGUAGUGGGGAAGGGCUCAGGCAGCCGAGUCUGACUGCUUGGUCCCAACUCCAGCUCCACUGUCGCUAACAGUGUGGCCUCUGGCAAGUUCUCAAGGCCUUGAUUUUCUUAUCUGUACAAUGGGAACAGCAAUAAUUAUGUGGACUAGAUGAAGUCAUCCUUUAUAAGCACAGCACAGGGCCCCACAUUUAGCUAGUACCUGGUAAACGUUGGCCAUUAUUAUUAUUAUUUUGUUUGUCUUUGGUUUUGUGUUUUUGUGUUGCUAUUAUUAACUAAGAGUAUAAGGACAUCUGAGAUGAGGUUUUCUGUGUUGUUUUAUGAGUACUGGAAACUCAUUGGAAAAGGGAAGGGGAGUCACACAUAUUUAUUGUUAUCAUUAUUAUUUCAACACCAUCAAUAAUAAUUAUUACCAUUUAUUAAAUAUGUACCCUGUGCU